CCGCCAGACUCCUACGGGAGGCAGCAGUGGGGAAUAUUGGGCAAUGGGGGAAACCCUGACCCAGCGACGCCGCGUGAGGGAAGAAGGUUUUCGGAUUGUAAACCUCUGUCCUUGGUGACGAUAAUGACGGUACCUGAGGAGGAAGCCACGGCUAACUACGUGCCAGCAGCCGCGGUAAUACGUAGGUGGCGAGCGUUGUCCGGAUUUACUGGGUGUAAAGGGAGCGUAGGCGGUGCAGCAAGUCAGAAGUGAAAGCCCGGGGCUCAACUCCGGGACUGCUUUUGAAACUGUUGAACUAGAUUGCAGGAGAGGUAAGUGGAAUUCCUAGUGUAGCGGUGAAAUGCGUAGAUAUUAGGAGGAACGCCAGUGGCGAAGGCGGCUUACUGGACUGUAAAUGACGCUGAGGCUCGAAAGCGUGGGGAGCAAACAGGAUUAGAUACCCUGGUAAAC
rnacentral:rRNA from 1 species